rnacentral:rRNA from 1 species
GAUUAACGCUGGCGGCGUGCAUAACACAUUCAAGUCGAACGGAGAGAGGCAGCUUCGGCUGCGUCAAUCAGUGGCGGACGGGUGAGUAACGCGUGAGUAACCUGCCUGUAAGAGGGGGAUAACACCUGGAAACGGGUGCUAAUACCGCAUAAAUCAUAGUUGUCGCAUGGCAGCGAUGUAAAAGAGGAAUUGCUUACAGAUGGACUCGCGUCUGAUUAGAUAGUUGGUAAGGUAACGGCCUACCAAGUCUGCGAUCAGUAGCCGGACUGAGAGGUUGAACGGCCACAUUGGAACUGAGAAACGGUCCAGACUCCUACGGGAGGCAGCAGUGGGGAAUAUUGGGCAAUGGACGAAAGUCUGACCCAGCGACGCCGCGUGAGGGAAGAAGGUCUUCGGAUUGUAAACCUUAGUAAGCAGGGAAGAAGGAAGUGACGGUACCUGCAGAGUAAGCCACGGCUAACUACGUG